rnacentral:rRNA from 1 species
CAGCCGCCGCGGUAAUGCGGAGGGCGCGAGCGUUACCCGGAUUUACUGGGCGUAAAGGGCGUGUAGGCGGCCUGGGGCGUCCCAUGUGAAAGGCCACGGCUCAACCGUGGAGGAGCGUGGGAUACGCUCAGGCUAGAGGGUGGGAGAGGGUAGUGGAAUUCCCGGAGUAGCGGUGAAAUGCGCAGAUACCGGGAGGAACGCCGAUGGCGAAGGCAGCCACCUGGUCCACUUCUGACGCUGAGGCGCGAAAGCGUGGGGAGCAAACCGGAUUAGAUACCCCAGUAGUCCCUGUCUCUUAUAC